AACGAACGCUGGCGGCAGGCUUAACACAUGCAAGUCGAGCGCCCCGCAAGGGGAGCGGCAGACGGGUGAGUAACGCGUGGGAAUCUACCCAUCUCUACGGAAUAACGCAUGGAAACGUGUGCUAAUACCGUAUACGUCCUUCGGGAGAAAGAUUUAUCGGAGAUGGAUGAGCCCGUGUUGGAUUAGCUAGUUGGUGGGGUAAAGGCCUACCAAGGCGACGAUCCAUAGCUGGUCUGAGAGGAUGAUCAGCCACACUGGGACUGAGACACGGCCCAGACUCCUACGGGAGGCAGCAGUGGGGAAUAUUGGACAAUGGGCGCAAGCCUGAUCCGGCCAUGCCGCGUGAGUGAUGAAGGCCCUAGGGUUGUAAAGCUCUUUCACCGGUGAAGAUAAUGACGGUAACCGGAGAAGAAGCCCCGGCUAACUUCGUGCCAGCCGCCGCCGUAAAAC
rnacentral:rRNA from 1 species